rnacentral:rRNA from 1 species
UACGAAGGGGGCUAGCGUUGUUCGGAAUUACUGGGCGUAAAGCACACGUAGGCGGAUUGUUUAGUGAGGGGUGAAAUCCCAGGGCUCAACCCUGGAACUGCCUCUCAUACUGGCAAUCUCGAGUUCGAGAGAGGUGAGUGGAAUUCCGAGUGUAGAGGUGAAAUUCGUAGAUAUUCGGAGGAACACCAGUGGCGAAGGCGGCUCACUGGCUCGAUACUGACGCUGAGGUGCGAAAGCGUGGGGAGCAAACAGGAUUAGAUACCCU